rnacentral:ncRNA from 1 species
UCAGUCUCUGGCGAUGGAUCUCGCCGGACCUUGCUGAUCUGAGCUGAGGUCGAACCGCCCUCUCGGCUGAUAGUUCCUACUCGUCG